rnacentral:rRNA from 1 species
GGGCGCAGCCAGAUGCAGCCAUGCCGCGUGUAUGAUGAAGGCCUUCGGGUUGUAAAGUGCUUUCAGGGGGAGGAAGGGAGUAAAGUUAAUACCUUUGGUCAUUGACGGUACCCGCAGAAUAAGCACCGGCUAACUCCGUGCCAGCAGCCGCGGUAAUACGGAGGGUGCAAGCGUUAAUCGGAAUUACUGGGCGUAAAGCGCACGCAGGCGGUUUGUUAAGUCAGAUGUGAAAUCCCCGGGCUCAACCUGGGAACUGCAUCUGAUACUGGCAAGCUUGAGUCUCGUAGAGGGGGGUAGAAUUCCAGGUGUAGCGGUGAAAUGCGUAGAGAUCUGGAGGAAUACCGGUGGCCGAAGGCGGCCCCCUGGACCAAGACUGACGCUCUCGUGUGCAAAAAACGUGGGGAACCAAACAGAAUUAAAUCC